rnacentral:rRNA from 1 species
GAGGUUUGAUCCUGGCUCAGGAUGAACGCUGGCGGCGUGCCUAAUACAUGCAAGUCGAGCGAACAGACGAGGAGCUUGCUCCUCUGACGUUAGCGGCGGACGGGUGAGUAACACGUGGGUAACCUACCUAUAAGACUGGGAUAACUCCGGGAAACCGGGGCUAAUACCGGAUAAUACAUGAAACCGCAUGGUUUCAUGAUGAAAGACGGUUUUGCUGUCACUUAUAGAUGGACCCGCGGCGUAUUAGCUAGUUGGUAAGGUAACGGCUUACCAAGGCAACGAUACGUAGCCGACCUGAGAGGGUGAUCGGCCAUACUGGAACUGAGACACGGUCCAGACUCCUACGGGAGGCAGCAGUAGGGAAUCUUCCGCAAUGGGCGAAAGCCUGACGGAGCAACGCCGCGUGAGUGAUGAAGGUCUUCGGAUCGUAAAACUCUGUUAUUAGGGAAGAACAAGGGUGUAAGUAACUAUGCACCCCUUGACGGUACCUAAUCAGAAAGCCACGGCUAACUACGUGCCAGCAGCCGCGGUAAUACGUAGGUGGCAAGCGUUAUCCGGAAUUAUUGGGCGUAAAGCGCGCGUAGGCGGUUUUUUAAGUCUGAUGUGAAAGCCCACGGCUCAACCGUGGAGGGUCAUUGGAAACUGGAAAACUUGAGUGCAGAAGAGGAAAGUGGAAUUCCAUGUGUAGCGGUGAAAUGCGUAG